CCUACGGGCGGCAGCAGUGGGGAAUAUUGGACAAUGGGCGAAAGCCUGAUCCAGCCAUGCCGCGUGUGUGAAGAAGGCCUUCGGGUUGUAAAGCACUUUCAGUGGGGAAGAAAGCCUUGGGGCUAAUACCCUCGAGGAAGGACAUCACCCACAGAAGAAGCACCGGCUAACUCCGUGCCAGCAGCCGCGGUAAUACGGCGGGUGCGAGCGUUAAUCGGAAUUACUGGGCGUAAAGCGCGCGUAGGCGGUCUGAUAAGCCGGUUGUGAAAGCCCCGGGCUCAACCUGGGAACGGCAUCCGGAACUGUCAGGCUAGAGUGCAGGAGAGGAAGGUAGAAUUCCCGGUGUAGCGGUGAAAUGCGUAGAGAUCGGGAGGAACACCAGUGGCGAAGGCGGCCUUCUGGACUGACACUGACGCUGAGGUGCGAAAGCGUGGGUAGCAAACAGGAUUAGAUACCCGAGUAGUC
rnacentral:rRNA from 1 species